GCCUCGGUGGUGUAGUGGUAGUGCACACGUACUCGGAUAGAAUGAAACACGGGUUCGAUUCCCGGCUGAGGCC